rnacentral:rRNA from 1 species
CCUACGGGUGGCAGCAGUGGGGAAUAUUGCACAAUGGGGGAAACCCUGAUGCAGCGACGCCGCGUGAGUGAAGAAGUAUUUCGGUAUGUAAAGCUCUAUCAGCAGGGAAGAAGAAAGACGGUACCUGACUAAGAAGCCCCGGCUAACUACGUGACAGCAGCCGCGGUAAUACGUAGGGGGCAAGCGGUAUCCGGAUUUACUGGGUGUAAAGGGAGCGUAGACGGCGUGGCAAGUCUGGUGUGAAAGGGCGGGGCUCAACCCCGGGACUGCAUUGGAAACUGGCAUGCUGGAGUGCCGGAGGGGCAAGCGGAAUUCCUGGUGUAGCGGUGAAAUGCGUAGAUAUUAGGAGGAACACCGGUGGCGAAGGCAGCUUGCUGGACUGUAACUGACGUUGAGGCUCGAAAGCGUGGGGAGCAAACAGGAUUAGAUACCCGGGUAGUC